AUGUGGUCCCUAAGAAGAGUCUCUACUUGAGAGGGAUUACCGACCUUUGAUUUUGCUCGAUUUCAUCUUGGGAGCCAUAUUUUACUUCUUAAGUUCUCUAGGCUUUAUACAUUUUUCAUUUUAUUUUGACGUUUCUGGAUAAGAUUUAUUCAUAUUGAAUUUUCCUCUUCAUGUUUUAUUGGUAGACUUUAUACUUGCAUUUUGAACGUGUGUUCAAAUGCUUUUAUGAGAUCUGAAUCUGAAGGAAGAACUUUACACAACCAAGGUGUUUGAUGAAAUCUCCCCUUAACAACCUACUCAUGAGAUAUGAGUAUUCAGAAUCUUUUCGUUGGGCAGUUUUUUCAAUUGCUUUUUUCCCUUCUCAGUGUGUAAUCUUGAGCUUAACGUUGUCUAAUACUCAUAUUUUUAGAAUGUAAUUGAGGAUUCUCAGAAUUACUCUUGGGAUUUUCUUGCUAAUUUGGAGAAUAACAACAGAUAUGUCUAUUAUGUCUGCUUCUCUUCUUCCCCCACUUUGGACUAAAGACAUAUUAUUAAAAUCCUUAUUUAGUCAAAGCAGUUAUAAUGAUACUAAAUAAUAAUAAUAAUAAAAUGACAAAUUAAAUAAGGUAAGUAAUAGUUGGACUUUGCUUAAAGGCCGUAAGUUCCUACUAAGUAAUAGGAUGUUGUAUGUGAACUUUUCCCCUCUGCUUCCAAUAUCUGCUGUCUUUUUUACUGUCUAAAAUUUUAAACAGCUAAAGCUUCAUUUUUUUGGUUAACUAAUUGUAUAUGGUCUUUCCUCGUUGUUCCAAAAUAAUCAUUGGAAGUGUAUUUUUGUACAUGUUUUGCUCUUUAUUUUACUUUUACUAUCUUUCUUUUUGCAAUUUUGGAGUUGCCAAUUGAUAGGUAUGAUUUAAAAUUUGGGAAGUGAAAUGCUAUUACACUGCCGUAUUAUUCUGAAGAGCUAUUACAUUACGACAUUAUUCAUGAACUUACAAAUAAUUUCUCUUAUGUUUAUUUUCUUCUGGUGUUUGAUUGUCUUGUGAUUUUGUGAUGACCGCUUUAUGAUCCAGGUUCAGAUAUUAGCUAUUAGAAAAUCAGAAAGCCAGGUCUUCUAAAGUAAGAAAAGAAACAUUUUAUACAAAAAUAAUAAAGAAGGUUGUUUGUAUGGUGAGACAUGGUCUUUCUGAAAAUCUUGAUCUUUUAGCCCAGUUGGUACAACAAUGUCACAAGAAAGAGUGCUCUAGAUGCGAGACUCUUCCUCAAUUUUCAUACAAGGUUAGUAUGAUGUAUGCUAAAAUUGUCUGUUUUUAUAUAGAUAUACAAGUGAACACCAUAAGGUUUUUAUCUUUAAAAAAAUUAUGUUUUACAUGUGUGUGUGUACACCUUUCAUAGAAGGGUCAGCACUAUCGAAAAAAUCAUAAGCAAAAUGUAUAUGUCGAGCUGCAAAGUUUGAAUAAAGAUUAUGCUUAGACAAGAUAGCCUAUUUGAGAAAGAAGAGGAGAGAAACAUAAGAAGCUUUGAAGGUAGUAAAACUUCAGAUAGAUCUUUCCUCUACCUUCUGGUACUUUAAUGCAAGUAAUAGAAGAACCUGAGUUGUAUGGGUAUAUUUAUCUUUCACUAAAAACAUUUCACAAGUUUGAAAUGGUACAUCUGCUAUGAUAAUUAAUGGGUACCAAAUGGUGAUGGCCAAGAACCAUGGUAUGUUUUUUGUUGUUUUGCAUCUUGCUCACUAUUUUAGUUGAACAUAGCAAUGGUUAACUGGUAUAUGUGAAGAGCGGGGAGAAAAUCUAAUAAGAGUAAUCAAAUUCUAUGAGUAUUAUAGCCUAUAUCUAUAAUAUUUGAUUCGUACAUGGACGAUUGGUUAUUGUUAUCUACAAAAAAAAAUUGACACUUUUAGUUUACUUGAUCACUUCAUAACAAACCAAACAGUUGAGAUGCUGACACAAUUUCUACUAAUUUCUGAUAUUUCAUUCGUUUGAAGUUGUCAACUAUUUCAUUUAUCUGAAGUUAUCUACAAAUUUGCACAUUCUCUCUGUCAAUUUUUUUCCUUGAGUAAGACAGAUGCAUCUUUUGUUUUAAAGCUCCCUAAUUUCAUUUUUGCUGCCCUCUAACAGCUGAUUGGCUUUUACUAGCUUUUUGAAGAUGCAUACGACAAUGCCUUCACGAAACUUCUUGAUGUAGCAUAUGCUAGAGCUCGAUAAGAAUUUUUCAAUGCGUGUCUCAGACAAGACACUCAAGUUCUUCCAGCUGAAUCCAAGCUCCUUUAAUUUGCUGGGACACACUUGAUAGCCAUUUGGGUGAGAACAUUGCUAUUGCCUGCUAUGGCACCCCACCAGUCUGAUCCCACGUGUUUGCAGGUUGAGAGCCACAACACUCUGGCAUAUUUGGCAGAAAACGUUGGCCAUUAUAAGCACGGAAAUUGUUCUGAUACUUCUGAGAUUCUAAUUGUUCUGAAUUAGGGAGAAUUUGUGGGAUACUACUAUGAAUUAGAUGUGUCCAGUUUUGGGAAUUCAACUUGUACCUGGUAGAGGACAAGAAAAUAUGACAUGCUAGUAAAGUUCAUUGCCGUGUUUGAGGAGCUGGUUACGAUUUGGUGCAAUAAUCUGCAGGUAACUUGAUUUCGUAGUUUUUUUCUGAACCGCUUUGUUCAUGGUACUGUAAUUCUUCAGCAACAUUAGCAUGGGCACUCAAAGUUAUCAAUUUUGCCGUGCAUGCUUUGUGUAAAUAGAUGGACCUUGUCUAUGAUUGAAAGUGAAAUUUCAUUACUUUCUACUGAAGCUAAAUUGUUACUGUUGUAUGUGAGUCUUCGA